CCUACGGGCGGCAGCAGUGGGGAAUAGUGCACAAUGGGGGAAACCCUGAUGCAGCGACGCCGCGUGAGUGAAGAAGUAUUUCGGUAUGUAAAGCUCUGGCAGCAGGGAAGAAAAUGACGGUACCGGACCAAGAAGCCCCGGCUAACGACGGGCCAGCAGCCGCGGGAAUACGUAGGGGGAAAGCGUUAUCCGGAUUUACUGGGUGUACAGGGAGCGUAGACGGCAGGGCAAGUCUGGAGUGAAAGGCGGGGGCUCCACCCCCGGACGGCUCUGGAAACUGCCAGGCUGGAGUGCAGGAGAGGUCAGUGGUCUUCCUCUUGUCGCGGUGACAUGCGUCGAUAUUAGGAGGCACCCCAGUGGCGCCGGCGGCUUACUCGACUGUAACUGACGUUGCGGCUCG
rnacentral:rRNA from 1 species